UAAAUUUUUUCCGUUUGUUUUAAUUGCUUUUUGUUAUGUAGUUUAUUUCUUUAGUCUUCUUUUUCUGUCAAGAUUUUAACCCCAACCUUAAAAAUGAAAUAAACCCUUAAAUCACAAUGAAAAUAUUUCUGUUGUCACAAUCAUGAGUUAGUCAAUUAUUCAGUUUAUCAAUUCAACUUUAUUUGUUUAGCACCUUUUACACAAAUGACAAAACUAAACAAGCAAAGAAAAAAAAACAAUGCUAAAACUAUGAUUAAAACUCAAAAACAUAAAAAAAAAAAAAAAAAAAGAUUUAACAUGGUAAUAAAAUAUGUUGUGUCCAGGGGAUGGAGGGAGUUUAUUGAAGUCUUCUUGGGCUCACAUGGGAAAUCAUUUAAAAUAUAAACUUGAUAUUCAGUCUAAGGAAACUGCAGAGCGACAGAAGAACCAACAAUAUCUCCCGUUUUCUCCUUUAAUGAGUCGACUCUUCUUGUGCUUCCAGACCAAAGAACUACAGACUCUUCACAACCUGCUCAAACUCUUGGUACAGGACCUCACCACACGGGUCAAGAAGGUUGCUUUGUAGAACUGUUGCAGAAAACCUCACUAAACCACAUGGAGGGGCCUCAAGAUAGUCGUCCAAAUGAAACCAUACAAAAACCAAACUAACACAACCCAAACGCUAAAGUCUCCUGCAGUCUACCAGAGAACCUCUGAGAACAGAGAAUCAGGACAGGAACUCUUACCUUCUGGACAACCAACGUUGGUUCACAAACAAGAAUACAGAAUGUGUCUGACCAAAAACCUCUAAAGACUCACUACAGCCAAGAUAAAGACACAACUCAGCUGCAUCAAAUCCACUAAUCACUGCACACAUUAGCACCAUGUGCUAACUGUGGCUAAAGAACCUCAUUUACCAAGACAACUAUCCAGUACAAAGCCCUAAAACACACCAAGAAACACAUUAAAGACGAUUUUACUGCUGGAAGCUGCAAGCCAGUGCCUUAAGAACAAAUUAAAGCAACUGAGCCAAACCCGGAUCUGUGGUGAAGAGAAGCAGAGGAAAUGUUUGUCUGCAGCUAAAUAAAGCAGGAAGACACUGAGCUGCUCAGGUGUUCCUGAUAACACCAAGCAGCCACCUGGACAGCCAAUAGGAACACAGCCACCUGGACAGCCAAUAGGAACACAGCUGGAAGUCCAGAGGGCUGGGUUAGUGAAGGAAAUUUAAAGUUGAAGCAGAAAGUUAACAAAGAAAGUUGAAAACCACCUUCUGAUACCUGAAAUCUCUGAGUUUUCACACAAAGAACACCUGAACAUGUCAAACUGGUUCCAUAGUAGAACCAUCAUUGUAAAAACGUCAUAGUAUGGUGUGUUGCUCAAAAAACAUUAGAACCCGGCUGUCAGGGACAAACAUGUAAGAAACAUGAGAACAGAGAGAAUCCAACCAGUAGGUCACAGUUUAUCAUCCCCCAGUCAUCUCCUGAAGUCCAUAUGGUGAGAGACAUCAGUAUCUGGUUGUUAAUUUACCAGAGGAUGCUUAUAAUCAUGCUGAUGUGGUCUGUACUCUACAGUAUUUUAGUGACUCAAUAAAUGCC
ensembl:lncRNA